GAAAUAUUAUUAAUUUUCUAAUGCGAUCGUAAUAAUUAAUUAGGGGUGAUUUAAUAAAAUCACGAUUGAAGCAGCGAAGAACUCGUGUCUUAAAUGACUUAUAAUAACUAAUUAGAAGUGAUAUAAUAAAAUUACUUUAAAAAAUACUUGUGAAAAAAGCAUAAAUAGGCAUCAUAUAAGACAUCAAGUUAAUUUAAAAAAUAAAAAACUA
rnacentral:lncRNA from 1 species